UACGUAGGGCGCAAGCGUUAUCCGGAAUUAUUGGGCGUAAAGAGCUCGUAGGCGGUUUGUCGCGUCUGCCGUGAAAGUCCGGGGCUCAACUCCGGAUCUGCGGUGGAUACGGGCAGACUAGAGUGAUGUAGGGGAGACUGGAAUUCCUGGUGUAGCGGUGAAAUGCGCAGAUAUCAGGAGGAACACCGAUGGCGAAGGCGGGUCUCUGGGCAUUAACUGACGCUGAGGAGCGAAAGCAUGGGGAGCGAACAGG
rnacentral:rRNA from 1 species